rnacentral:lncRNA from 1 species
UUGGAGAUGGUCUUACAUAUCUCCUCUCGUCCUCUCUCUCGCCUCUCUUUGAAAUCUCGCUUUCCUCUCUCCUCUUUUUCAAUCAUUUCUCCCUUGCGUCUCUCCUCUCCCUGCGUAGUCUCUCUCGCUUAUUUCUGCCAGAAAUUAUACAAAUACAAAUGUUAACAGUCGUUUAUACAAACACAAAUGAUAAGAAUCAAUUUGUUUAUACAAAACACAAAUGAUAACAAUCGAUUAUACAAAUACAAAUUGUAAGUGUCAACUAUACAAAUGUCUUUAGUGAUACAAAUACAAAUACACAUUUAUUCGUUGAUAAAAACAUUGAUACAAAUGAUGACAAAUAAAUUAUACAUAUACAAAUACAAAUUGAUUUGACUGUAUACAAUUUAUUCAUUGAUACAAUUUGUAUUCGCUAAUAUUAUGGUAUUCAUUGAUACAUAUACAUACUAAUUAUAUAUAUACAAUUAUGCAAAUAUACAAAUACAAUCAUUAAUACAUAUAUGCAUAUACCAAUUAUAUAUAUAUAAUUAUCUGAUAGAUAUACAAAUACAAUUCGCCUCUCUCUACUCUCUACCCUCUCCCGCUCACCUCUCUCCUCCCUCUCCAAUCUCACUCUCCCAAUCUCCCUCGCCUCUCUCCUCCUCUAACACGUAGUUACAAAUCGUAAUUAGCAAACUAUAGCUAUUUUUGCCUAAUCAUGUUUCAAGUCUUGGCUCUUUUUGAGCAAUUUGUCCAUCCUAUUAUUAUUGAUGUGACACAAGUGUGCAACACACAUACUCUACACUAGUAUAUAAUAUGCUUUUCAACUUGUUUUCAUUGAUAUUUAGGUCUUUUAAUUUUGGGUGUGCACAAGUAGACAUUUAACUUAUAUAAAAUUAAAUAAAUAGACACAUACAUUUUUCCUACAUGACAAUUUACUUGAAAUACAACUGAAUUGAUUUGUAUUAUGCCAUGUAGAACACACACACACACACACACAUAUAUAUAUAUAUAUAUAUAUAUGUCAUUAGGAUGCAUGUGUCUAGGGGUGACAAUUGGACGGGUUGAGUCAAAUUUGAACGGGUCAUAAUGGACUAGGACAACAAAUGGGUUAAGACCCAAUCCAACCCAAUUUUGCUUGGAUCAAAAUAGAUUGGGUUAAAACGGGUCAAGCAAUGGGGGAUAGAUCCAGAUAAGAUUUAAUGUAACUCAACCCAACCCAAUCUUUACUAACAACAACAAACAAUAUACCCGGUGAAAUCCAACUAAGUGAGGUCUAGAUAGGGUAUAGUAUAUGCAAAUCUUAUCAAUUUUUACUAUGUUUAAUUAUUUUAUUUAUUCUUCCAAAAUAUUUUAAUACCUAAUAAAUUUAUUCUUUCUUUAUUAUGACUAUAUAUAACAUAUCAAAUUAAAAACCAAGUUUAUUAAAAAUAUUUUGAUAGGAUUUCUAAUGAGUCAAUUUGGGUUAUUCUAUUUUGCAUGUACUCAAAGACUAACAUACUCAAAUUUUUAGAACAUACCAAGUGUGGCACGAGGCAUCAUCAAUACAGAUAAAGAAAAAACUUCCUAGCCUUAGGAUAAAAAGAUAUCAAAAUUGAGACUUUGCUAACCAUGAUCAUACGCAGAGAAGAUAACAUGAAAAUAUACAUUAUAAUAGAGCAUUCAUAUAGUUGGCAUUUGAACAUUCAAGUAGAUGCAUUAGUGAUAAUAAGUGAGAAUAAUAGACUACCUAUUUUUUUUGAAUUUCAAGCAGUGGUAUCAGCUAUUUAAGCUUAAUCUGUUGAGAGUCGAGGAGGAUGGCGAAACAUUGUUCUGGAAAAAUGGAUGGAUGAGGGCAUGAAAACAAUCAAAAGGAAAUCAACAAGGGCGAAAUGGAUCGAGAGGAACAAAUACUUAUCCUGUUGGAAAUCUCGGCAUAAGCAAGUAUUGGAGUGGCAUGCUUGCAGCUGAAGCUUUGGUACUGGAAUCGAUACUCAUAAGAGAAAGAAGAUGGAGAUUAACCACCAGUUCUUUGAUUAAUGGACAACAAAAACUUCAUAAUCAUCUAUGGAACUCACCAGAUCUGCUGUUGUUGAGUGGAAGAAGUCUUCAUUAAGAUUGUUUUUAUGGCAUUCGUGAGAUUUGGAAUGUCUUAGGUGAAAACACCUUAAGCUCGACAACUUCUAGGUUAUGGAGUGGAGUUGGAUACUGAAUUUGAAGACUUUGAUGUCUCUCCAGCUCAUCGACGUUUCUCUCAAUCGAUCCAUGGUUGCUUCGUUUGUACUCUGAGGAAGGAGAUGAGACUUUUUUCCCUUCCCCCUUUUACUUUGAUGUCCGGACAUUUCAGGUCUUGGACUUCUUUUGUUUCCUUUUUGUAUU